AGCGAACGUUGGCGGCGCGCUUAACACAUGCAAGUCGCACGAGAAAAGGGGCAACCCUGAGUAGAGUGGCGCACGGGUGCGUAACACGUAGGCAAUCUUCCCUCAGGAGGGGGAUAACCA
rnacentral:rRNA from 1 species